GACAGGCUUAACACAUGCAAGUCGAGGGGCAGCGGGGUAGUGCUUGCACUACUGCCGGCGACCGGCGCACGGGUGAGUAACACGUAUGGAACCUGCCCGCAGCAGGGGGAUAAGCGGAAGAAAUUCCGUCUAAUACCGCGUAACAACGUUGGGAGGCAUCUCCCGAUGUUUAAAGAUUUAUCGGCUGCGGAUGGCCAUGCGGCGCAUUAGCUAGUCGGCGGGGUAACGGCCCACCGAGGCGACGAUGCGUAGGGGUUCUGAGAGGAAGGUCCCCCACACUGGUACUGAGACACGGACCAGACUCCUACGGGAGGCAGCAGUGAGGAAUAUUGGUCAAUGGCCGAGAGGCUGAACCAGCCAAGUCGCGUGAGGGAAGACGGCCCUACGGGUUGUAAACCUCUUUUGUCGGGGAGCAAAGCGAACCACGUGUGGUUCAUUGAGAGUACCCGAAGAAAAAGCAUCGGCUAACUCCGUGCCAGCAGCCGCGGUAAUACGGAGGAUGCGAGCGUUAUCCGGAUUUAUUGGGUUUAAAGGGUGCGCAGGCGGAGGUGCAAGUCAGCGGUCAAAUUGCGGGGCUCAACCCCGUACUGCCGUUGAAACUGCAUCCCUUGAGUGCGCGAGAAGUAUGCGGAAUGCGUGGUGUAGCGGUGAAAUGCAUAGAUAUCACGCAGAACUCCGAUUGCGAAGGCAGCAUACCGGCGCGCAACUGACGCUCAUGCACGAAAGCGUGGGUAUCGAACAGGAUUAGAUACCCUGGUAGUCCACGCAGUAAACGAUGAACACUAACUGUUCGGCCAGAAUGAUGGCUGAGUGGUACAGCGAAAGCGUUAAGUGUUCCACCUGGGGAGUACGCCGGCAACGGUGAAACUCAAAGGAAUUGACGGGGGCCCGCACAAGCGGAGGAACAUGUGGUUUAAUUCGAUGAUACGCGAGGAACCUUACCCGGGCUCAAACGACACAGGAAUACUUUUGAAAGGAGGUAGCCCUACGGGGUCUGUGUCGAGGUGCUGCAUGGUUGUCGUCAGCUCGUGCCGUGAGGUGUCGGCUUAAGUGCCAUAACGAGCGCAACCCCUAUCGCCAGUUACCAUCAAGUAAAGUUGGGGACUCUGGCGAGACUGCCGGCGCAAGCUGAGAGGAAGGCGGGGAUGACGUCAAAUCAGCACGGCCCUUACGUCCGGGGCGACACACGUGUUACAAUGGCAGGUACAGAGAGAAGCCAGGUGGCGACACCGCGCGGAACUCGAAAGCCUGUCUCAGUUCGGAUCGGAGUCUGCAACCCGACUCCGUGAAGCUGGAUUCGCUAGUAAUCGCGCAUCAGCCAUGGCGCGGUGAAUACUU
rnacentral:rRNA from 1 species